GAUGAACGCUGGCGGCGUGCCUAAUACAUGCAAGUCGAGCGAACGGACGAGAAGCUUGCUUCUCUGAUGUUAGCGGCGGACGGGUGAGUAACACGUGGAUAACCUACCUAUAAGACUGGGAUAACUUCGGGAAGCCGGAGCUAAUACCGGAUAAUAUUUUGAACCGCAUGGUUCAAAAGUGAAAGACGGUCUUGCUGUCACUUAUAGAUGGAUCCGCGCUGCAUUAGCUAGUUGGUAAGGUAACGGCUUACCAAGGCAACGAUGCAUAGCCGACCUGAGAGGGUGAUCGGCCACACUGGAACUGAGACACGGUCCAGACUCCUACGGGAGGCAGCAGUAGGGAAUCUUCCGCAAUGGGCGAAAGCCUGACGGAGCAACGCCGCGUGAGUGAUGAAGGUCUUCGGAUCGUAAAACUCUGUUAUUAGGGAAGAACAUAUGUGUAAGUAACUGUGCACAUCUUGACGGUACCUAAUCAGAAAGCCGCGGCUAACUACGUG
rnacentral:rRNA from 1 species